rnacentral:lncRNA from 1 species
GGUUCACGAACAUUCUGCGCUACAGCGCGCAACCGUUUCGCUCCACUGUACCGUGCAUCCUGCCUCAUACAAGUUGUAAUUUUCCAAGUAUUUUACUUUACCAAAGCCUUUUCGCACAAAGUUAUCAAUUUCUCUAUAAUUUAGCAAUCAGAAUAUUUUUGUCUGCAGGGACUGUCCGUGAUUGGUCAGAGAACGUGCAAACUGCAGACCGUGUUGCAACUAUAACAAUCUUUUGUGUCGAAACCGUGCUAAUCUUAUUGGUUACGGCUACAGCAAACAAAUAUCUAACUUCAUAUUUCAAAGAGUUUGUGUUUUGACUGGUACGUCAAGGGCCGUAAAUUUUCUUAGAGUGCGAAUGGUCUUAAGGCGUGUCGAUUCGUGCGAAGUUUUCCUGUUUGCCUGUCGAGUUUGGGACCUCCCGCCGCGUCACUGCGUCCCUGGAAGUUUACAUUUCUCAUGGCAUUUUAUUUUACAAACUUUUAAUAGCGUCACAAAUUGCUGCAGUCGAUUGUUGAUUAAACAAUUGAGCGGGCCCCGCAUACGUCGUCUGUCUCAAUUGUAAACUGUUAUUGGAAAUCAAUUGACACGAAGUAUAUUGACUCAAUGAGCAGGAUGAGUGACAUCCUCUCUGAUCAUCACGUUCGCUUACAUCGUGUUUUAUGAUUCUCGAUAAUUAUACAAGUUUACAGUAACUUGGCACGUAAAGACGAAUGGCUUAUCUUUUAUUUCCAGACGACUUUCGACAGCCACUUAGCGAUUGGUUUAUAAUGGAGACGAAAGGAGUAUUUAGGGUAACAAACAGAACUGUUUCAAAGAUUUAAUCUAAUACCACUUCCUUCUUACAUAUGUAUCUAUAUAUACCCAUAGAAUGUAUAAUGCUGUAAGUGUUAUUUCGAUUUGACCAAAUCAUCAAUACAUGAACCUGCCAAAAGAUUAUGUUAAGUGCUUACCUACACAUACUACUUGGCCGACUAAAACUUUAUUUGUACGGUACUAAUUGAAAAGUUGAAUGAACUCAACCUCAAUUUAUGACGAUAUGCCAUGCAGGGUGACGUUAUUCAUUCUCUGGUUUUGCUAGUACACAGUGAAAGUGAGGUCGCGACGCUUUCUAUCCGCGAACGCUCCGCAGCCGGCGCGCGCGCGUCGAUGCACCGACUUGCGAAAGCUACCAUUGAGAGACCGAACAGCCAACUAGUCGGCUCCUUUCGAAUAGAAAGCUGGCGUGAGCAAUCUACGGAUCUUUGUUUAACCAUUCUGAUGCUGUUUCCUAGCUUAUUUCAUGACAUUUACUGAUUGAAAAUAGCAUAGGUACAGGAGGUAACCAUGUUGGGCUGGAAUCAAUUUAAAAUGAUUAUUUUGAAUUUUCGGGCCAAUUGUGAUAAAUCUAUGCGACCACGACAACAGUCAGUUACGAAAAAUGACGUUUUAUACUUCAUAUUUUCGUUACAGGAGUAACUUACUUUAUCUGCUAUUUUUUAUAAUGUUAGGUUUUUCAGCACUGAUUCCGCCAAUGUAUUUGACAUUCUACUGUAAACUAAUCUGUGCGGAGAAUACGCUGUCUCACUUUUAUUCUUUAACAGGGAAUCAUUCCUUCUACACUAAGAAACAUCUUCUUAAACCUCCUUUAAGUUAAGCUGUUAUCCGUCACGAAGCUUCAAGCAAUGUGAUCUAGGAGGCGUGAUAGAAGAAACUUAACAAAGGCAUCGCGUCAGUGGAUCCAACACGAAGAUCCAACAGAAUUGAAGUGUAGAAUGUAGUCACGUGUUAAUGCCUUAAUUUGUAUGAAUAAGAUAUGCAAAUAUACGGUAACAAUAUACUUUGUCUGUGGCGAAUGUGUGAUGGAAUCAGAUAUCUACUAAUUGCCUACCUACUUAAAGAAGCUGGGUAACUUGAGCACCUCUUUAUUUUUCCCAAGGAGACAUCGACCGUUGAAAGGCGAAAGACGUGACUGUUUUUCAUCGUUUUACAAUCUAAUGUUUAAUGUUUGUUUUAGUUUGUCCUUAAGUUUAUAGAUACAUUGCUUGCUUGAGGUUAGUAGAGAUUUGCUUCGGUCUUAGCUGAACAGCGCAAGUGAGACUACAGCGAUAAACUUGUUGUGCUCAAAGUAUUCCAAAGAUGAUGUCAUCUGUUCAAAUUUGGCAAUGCCAGGCGGUCGACCUCUAAGUAACGAGUAGUAAUGUUGGCGUCGUGGCUUCUCGCUAAACUGCGCAGUAAGACUUGUAUUUCACACAUACCUAUAUACUAUUAUCAAAAAACUAUAACUUUUUAUGCUCUCGAAUUACAUCAUAGAAUCGUGCAGGUUCCACUGCGAAAUAAUAAGUACUUAUUACUUACCUACUUGGUAAGCAUGUUCUCAUCUGGCCGUAGGUCAUCUACCUACAUGACAAAGGAACGGUGUAGGUAAAUUAAUUUGUAUUUUUCUUACUAGCACUUGAGGAACUAAUUACACUGAAAAAUAUUUUACUGCCUUCUUACUUAAAUGUUCUACUUACUAUCUGAAGAAGUGGGGUGAGUCUUUUCAGAGAUAAGUGUAUUAGUUUACCUAGCUCUGGUACACCUCCCGUACGGAGCGUGAAAAUUUUCAAGAUAAAGAGCCUCGGUUUAAUCGGUGGCAUAUACUUAAGUUUUUAUUAUUUAAAUACAUGCAUGUGUAACAUUCUCUAAAACGUCUCUUUGUCCUUAAUUAUAUUCUGAUUAGUAGCAUUUUCCAUUUUUUUGUUAGAAAUUAUAUCCAUUGUGAUAAUUUUAAAUCAUAGACAAGAGACGUUAACUAGUUCCGCAACACGAGCUAAAACAAAAGUAGCUUUGAUUAAAAAAAUCUAGAAAAACAGGAUUUAGCAAUACUGGAAAGAAAAUCCGAUGUUGUUAAAGUAGCUAAUCCAAUUAUAAAUCAAUACAAACAAAACAAUGAAAACAUUAUGGCAUUGUCUCAGGUCAGGUUUCUGUUAUACAGAAAUAAUUACUAAUCCAAUUGAAUACUAAGGUCAAUAAAAAACCUUAUCAGUGCGUCCUUUCAAUUGACUUCUUUAAAUAA